rnacentral:rRNA from 1 species
AGCCACUGCUAUGGGGGUCCGACUAAGCCAUGCGAGUCAUGGGGCGCGCUCUGCGCGCACCGGCGGACGGCUCAGUAACACGUCGGUAACCUACCCUCGGGAGGGGGAUAAUCCCGGGAAACUGGGGCUAAUCCCCCAUAGGCCUGAGGUACUGGAAGGUCCUCAGGCCGAAAGGGGCUUUGCCCGCCCGAGGAUGGGCCGGCGGCCGAUUAGGUAGUUGGUGGGGUAACGGCCCACCAAGCCGAAGAUCGGUACGGGCCAUGAGAGUGGGAGCCCGGAGAUGGACACUGAGACACGGGUCCAGGCCCUACGGGGCGCAGCAGGCGCGAAACCUCCGCAAUGCGGGAAACCGCGACGGGGGGACCCCCAGUGCCGUGGCAUCGCCACGGCUUUUCCGGAGUGUAAAGAGCUCCGGGAAUAAGGGCUGGGCAAGGCCGGUGGCAGCCGCCGCGGUAAUACCGGCGGCCCGAGUGGUGGCCGCUAUUAUUGGGCCUAAAGCGUCCGUAGCCGGGCCUGUAAGUCCCUGGCGAAAUCCCACGGCUCAACCGUGGGGCUUGCUGGGGAUACUGCAGGCCUUGGGACCGGGAGUGGCGGAGGGUACUCCUGGGGUAGGGGUGAAAUCCUAUAAUCCCAGGAGGACCGCCAGUGGCGAAGGCGCUCCGCUGGAACGGGUCCGACGGUGAGGGACGAAGGCCAGGGGAGCGAACCGGAUUAGAUACCCGGGUAGUCCUGGCUGUAAAGGAUGCGGGCUAGGUGUCGGGUGAGCUUCGUGCUCGCCCGGUGCCGAAGGGAAGCCGUUAAGCCCGCCGCCUGGGGAGUACGGCCGCAAGGCUGAAACUUAAAGGAAUUGGCGGGGGAGCACUACAAGGGGUGGAGCGUGCGGUUU